rnacentral:rRNA from 1 species
UGGGGAAUAUUGCACAAUGGGCGCAAGCCUGAUGCAGCCAUGCCGCGUGUGUGAAGAAGGCCUUCGGGUUGUAAAGCACUUUCAGCGAGGAGGAAGGUGGUGAGCUUAAUACGCUCAUCAAUUGACGUUACUCGCAGAAGAAGCACCGGCUAACUCCGUGCCAGCAGCCGCGGUAAUACGGAGGGUGCAAGCGUUAAUCGGAAUUACUGGGCGUAAAGCGCACGCAGGCGGUUUGUUAAGUCAGAUGUGAAAUCCCCGGGCUCAACCUGGGAACUGCAUUUGAAACUGGCAAGCUAGAGUCUCGUAGAGGGGGGUAGAAUUCCAGGUGUAGCGGUGAAAUGCGUAGAGAUCUGGAGGAAUACCGGUGGCGAAGGCGGCCCCCUGGACGAAGACUGACGCUCAGGUGCGAAAGCGUGGGGCAGCAAACAGGAUUAGAUACCCCUGGUAGUCCAGCGCUGUAAACGAUGUCGAUUUUGGAGGUUGUGCCCUUGAGGCGUGGCCUCCGGAGCUAACGCGUUAAAUCGACCGCCUGGGGAGUACGGCCGCAAGGUU